UUAUUUCACUCCCUAACUA
rnacentral:tRNA from 1 species